AAAUGCCACAAUGCAAAUAUAUUCAGAUGAAUCUUCUACUGAUCUCUCAAUUUCCUUCUCAUUUUUUGUAGGACGUAUCUGCUGAACAGCUGCUUUCUCUGGGCACAAUGGUGAGAGGUGUAGCCAGCUCUGUACUUCAGAAGGUCAAAGCACAAGAACUGCUGGGAAAUAAAGGACUGGAGAUGAUGAGCAGGACUCUGUCCAAUCUGCAGAAGCAAGCUCUGCUAAAAGGGAUGCAAAGAAAUGAAAGUUUGUCAGAGAUUCUAAGAACCAUCCCCAGUCCACUUCUGUCCACUCUGUCACUGGGCACCCUGGAGAAAGCCAACCUUACUUCAGUGGACCAGCUAGGGGACAGAAACUGGACACGUCCUCAGUCUGCCUACCUCCUGAGGAAAAUACUUGGCAAGACAAUAAAUCUGAAUGAUGUACGGAAGUUGGGUCCAGCAAUGCAGGGCCUUACCUGUGAGAUGAUUGACCGCAUCAGCCAGAAUUACACCAUUGAAUCAGCACAAGCACUGCUGCAGUCCCCUGAUUGGCUUUCAAAGUCACAGGUGAGGCCACACAAACUAAAUCUAAACACACAAUACAAAAACUAA
rnacentral:lncRNA from 1 species